UUAAAACUUGGGAAUAUUGUAGAUAUUAGGAUUUGUAUUGGGAGCUUUUUGGAGGAAUGGAUAAGGGAUGGGUGCGGAAGAGAGAGAUUGCUAAAGGUGCUGUUUAUUGUAUUAGUAUUGAAUUUUGACUGAAAAUUUAACUUCACUGGUCGCAAAAAUUAAAGUGAUCAUGUGUGCAAGCGUGGUUUGUAAAGUUUAAGCUUGGUUGAUCAAAUGUGCUGUUGGGAAAUUUG
rnacentral:misc_RNA from 1 species